rnacentral:lncRNA from 1 species
CAAGGACUUCAAAUCUGAAGACCCUAGGUCUCUAUCACUUAUGGUUUACUAGUUAGAAAUGCAUAUCACUUGAAUCAAAUGAAAAAGGGGGAAUAACUCUCAUAUGGACUCGCCAUAUAGCUUCUGUCCAAAUGAAUAUCCUUAUUCUUAAGAUGUAACGAGCAAUUUGGCAAAAUAAAUUUGUCGUAAUCUUUUACGGUUGCGAAGGAUUAGUGGCCACAAGAAAAACAGUGUUCGGGGAGAUAACUCUUACAACGUAAAGUAUUUUGUUACGCGGUUGUAAAUUUUUAAAGCGUAUCA